AUGGAUUGGUGCCUUCGGGAACUCUGAGACAGGUGCUGCAUGGCUGUCGUCAGCUCGUGUUGUGAAAUGUUGGGUUAAGUCCCGCAACGAGCGCAACCCUUAUCCUUUGUUGCCAGCGGUCCGGCCGGGAACUCAAAGGAGACUGCCAGUGAUAAACUGGAGGAAGGUGGGGAUGACGUCAAGUCAUCAUGGCCCUUACGAGUAGGGCUACACACGUGCUACAAUGGCGCAUACAAAGAGAAGCGACCUCGCGAGAGCAAGCGGACCUCAUAAAGUGCGUCGUAGUCCGGAUUGGAGUCUGCAACUCGACUCCAUGAAGUCGGAAUCGCUAGUAAUCGUGGAUCAGAAUGCCACGGUGAAUACGUUCCCGGGCCUUGUACACACCGCCCGUCACACCAUGGGAGUGGGUUGCAAAAGAAGUAGGUAGCUUAACCUUCGGGAGGGCGCUUACCACUUUGUGAUUCAUGACUGGGGUGAAGUCGUAACAAGGUAAGCGUAGUGCU
rnacentral:rRNA from 1 species